AGAACGAACGCUGGCGGCGUGGAUUAGGCAUGCAAGUCGAACGAAUCCCAGGGGCAACUCUGGGGGAAGUGGCGAAAGGGGCAGUAAGGCGUGGGUAACCUACCUCGAGGACCGGCAUAGCCUCUCUAACGAGAGGGUAAUUCCGGGCGCGGUAACCGGGUCGCAUGGCUUGGUUAUGGGAUGAAUUUCGCCUCGAGACGGGCUCACGUGGUAUUAGCUAGUUGGUGGGGUAACGCCCACCAAGGCCGAGAUGCCUAGCAGGUGUGAGAGCACGACCUGCGUCACUGGCACUGAGACACUGGCCAGACUCCUACGGGAGCUGCAGUCGAGGAUCUUCGGCAAUGGGCGCAAGCCUGACCGAGCGACGCCGCGUGUGCGAUGAAGGCCUUCGGGUGUAAAGCACGUGUCGAGGGGAGAAAGCGUCCGCAAGGAGUUGAUCUAACCCGUGGAAGGAAGCACGGGCUAAGUCAUGCCAGCAGCCG
rnacentral:rRNA from 1 species